rnacentral:rRNA from 1 species
UACGUAGGGGGCAAGCGUUGUCCGGAAUCAUUGGGCGUAAAGCGCGUGUAGGCGGCUUGAUAAGUCUGCUGUGAAAGUUCAGGGCUCAACCCUGAAAUGCCGGUGGAAACUGUCGGGCUAGAGUCCGGAAGAGGCGAGUGGAAUUCCUGGUGUAGCGGUGAAAUGCGUAGAUAUUGGGAGGAACACCAGUGGCGAAGGCGGCUCGCUGGGACGGUACUGACGCUGAGGCGCGAAAGCGUGGGGAGCAAACAGG